rnacentral:rRNA from 1 species
CAUGCAAGUCGAACGGCAGCACGGGUGCUUGCACCUGGUGGCGAGUGGCGAACGGGUGAGUAAUACAUCGGAACAUGUCCUGUAGUGGGGGAUAGCCCGGCGAAAGCCGGAUUAAUACCGCAUACGAUCUACGGAUGAAAGCGGGGGACCUUCGGGCCUCGCGCUAUAGGGUUGGCCGAUGGCUGAUUAGCUAGUUGGUGGGGUAAAGGCCUACCAAGGCGACGAUCAGUAGCUGGUCUGAGAGGACGACCAGCCACACUGGGACUGAGACACGGCCCAGACUCCUACGGGAGGCAGCAGUGGGGAAUUUUGGACAAUGGGCGAAAGCCUGAUCCAGCAAUGCCGCGUGUGUGAAGAAGGCCUUCGGGUUGUAAAGCACUUUUGUCCGGAAAGAAAUCCUUGGCUCUAAUACAGUCGGGGGAUGACGGUACCGGAAGAAUAAGCACCGGCUAACUACGUGCCAGCAGCCGCGGUAAUACGUAGGGUGCGAGCGUUAAUCGGAAUUACUGGGCGUAAAGCGUGCGCAGGCGGUUUGCUAAGACCGAUGUGAAAUCCCCGGGCUCAACCUGGGAACUGCAUUGGUGACUGGCAGGCUAGAGU